AUUGAACGCUGGCGGCAGGCCUAACACAUGCAAGUCGAGCGAGCGGCGGACGGGUGAGUAAUGUCUGGGCAACUGCCUGAUGGAGGGGGAUAACUACUGGAAACGGUAUCUACUACCGCAUACCAUCAGAUGUGCCCAGAGGGGAUUAGCUAGUAGGUGGGGUAACGGCUCACCUAGGCGACGAUCCCUAGCUGGUCUGAGAGGAUGAUCAGCCACACUGGAACUGAGACACGGUCCAGACUCCUACGGGAGGCAGCAGUGGGGAAUAUUGCGCAAUGGGCGCAAGCCUGAUGCAGCCAUGCCGCGUGUGUGAAGAAGGCCUUCGGGUUGUAAAGCACUUUCAGCGGGGAGGCGUUACCCGCAGAAGAAGCACCGGCUAACUCCGUGCCAGCAGCCGCGGUAAUAC
rnacentral:rRNA from 1 species